rnacentral:pre_miRNA from 1 species
AGCAGCAACAGCCCUAGUGGCGGGGCCAGCUCUGGAAACCUGGAUUCAGCCCCCGCAGGAACUCCGGAGCUCUCCAUCUGCAGGGCCUGGAGGCUCCGCGGCGGG